rnacentral:lncRNA from 1 species
GAUUUUGGCUUUGAUAAAAAAAACAAAACAAUAGAUAACAUGGGUAAGACUAGGUGAUUUUUAGUUUUGUACAAUUUAAACAAUUUAUACAAUAAAAAGAUCAACACAUUGCAAGAAUAUUUUUUUGCCAAACAAAAUAGCUCAGAACUUCACAAUUCAAUUGUUUUUGCAGAUUGCAAAUACACACUACUUAAUCAGAAAUGAUAAUACUAAAAAUGCCUUUUCUAGUAAUUGAACCUUCUGAUUCCAAGAUCAAAAUUUACAGAAAUUUCAGUCUUGGAGUUAGAAAGUUCAUGGAAAGCACUACUGAAAUCUGGAAUAGCAAAGAUUGAUAGGAAAGCAUCAAAUUCUUAGCUUAUCCAUAAUAAUCAGUUCCCUGAAACUGAAAGAUUGAUGACUGCAAUAUUCAUAUGAAAAAAGUUACUAAAAACAUAUUUUAAAGGGCAUUUCAGUUGAUGAUAAAUACACACAUUAUAUGACCAAUGAAAACAAUCUAAUGCAUAAUUUCUAUGCAAAUUCUUUACAUAGAAAUUAUGCAUUGGAUCAAGUCAUUAGGUUCAUUCAAUCAGAAAUUAGCAACAAAUUACAAAUCAAAAUUGCAAACAAUUUAUAUUGCAAAUAUAUUUCUGAAAUAGUUCUAGAGAACACAAUACACAAAUUGUAUUGGGACAGAACAGAAUUCACAAACAUAACAACAGAUCAGAUAUCAUUCUGAUUAACAAUCAGCAGAAAACUCUACUACAGAUUUCUGUUGCUUGAGACAUUAUUAUCCAAGAGAAGUUCUCACUUAAAUCUGUGUAUGUUUUGUUAUCACUAGCACAAAUAAUUUAGAUUCAACACAUACUGCCAAAAAUGCUAAGUAUACAAAAAGAAUAGUGGCAUAUAAACAAAAUACUCACAGUUCUAAUUGUUUUAUUGUCAUUACUAUUGUUCCCACAACACUGCAU